rnacentral:rRNA from 1 species
GACGAACCGAGCGAACGUUGUUCGGAAUAACUGGGCUUAAAGGGCGCGUAGGCGGGCCGCCAAGUCCGAGGUGAAAUCCUCCGGCUCAACCGGAGAACUGCCUCGGAUACUGGAGGCCUGGAGGGGGGUAGGGGCACGCGGAACUGUGGGUGGAGCGGUGAAAUGCGUUGAUAUCCACAGGAACUCCGGUGGCGAAGGCGGCGUGCUGGACCCCACCUGACGCUGAGGCGCGAAAGCCAGGGGAGCAAACGGGG